ensembl:snRNA RNU6-1213P RNA, U6 small nuclear 1213, pseudogene
GUGCUCACUUUGGCAGCACAUAUACUAAAAUUGGAAUGAUAUAUGGCCCUUGUGCAAGAAUGACAUGUACAUUCAUGAAGCAGUCCAUAUAUAU